AACGAACGCUGGCGGCAUGCCUAACACAUGCAAGUCGAACGAUGCCUUCGGGCAUAGUGGCGCACGGGUGCGUAACGCGUGGGAAUCUGCCCUUGGCUUCGGAAUAACAGUUAGAAAUGACUGCUAAUACCGGAUGAUGUCCCCCUGAGAGAUCUUGGGGACCAAAGAUUUAUCGGCCAGGGAUGAGCCCGCGUAGGAUUAGGUAGUUGGUGGGGUAAAGGCCUACCAAGCCGACGAUCCUUAGCUGGUCUGAGAGGAUGAUCAGCCACACUGGGACUGAGACACGGCCCAGACUCCUACGGGAGGCAGCAGUGGGGAAUAUUGACAAUGGGGGGAACCCUGAUCCAGCAAUGCCGCGUGAGUGAUGAAGGCCUUAGGGUUGUAAAGCUCUUUUACCAGGGAUGAUAAUGACAGUACCUGGAGAAUAAGCUCCGGCUAACUCCGUG
rnacentral:rRNA from 1 species